AAUCCUGGAGUGGAUCAACUGACGGUAAUUGUAUUUUAUAUUGACCUUGAUAAACUCUUUCCAUAUCAUCCAUAUGCCACUCGAAAAGUCAAUCGCCUUAACUCUGUAAGAGUAGUUGAAUCUCAGGUUCUUAAUCACUUUAUCCGUUUUCUCGCUCGCCAUCCUAGGCUCCAAUAAAGCCACCAAUAUGGGAUUAUGGAUAUUUACAAAGGACAAUCCAAAGGUAAUAAAAAAAUGGUAGGAAGAGCUAAGGCUAAAAAAAAACUAUGCUUGCUCCUUCUGAAGGGCAUCAUCCGCGCUCGAAAUGAGAC
rnacentral:lncRNA from 1 species